rnacentral:rRNA from 1 species
AUUGAACGCUGGCGGCAGGCCUAACACAUGCAAGUCGAGCGGCAGCGGAAAGUAGCUUGCUACUUUGCCGGCGAGCGGCGGACGGGUGAGUAAUGUCUGGGAAACUGCCUGAUGGAGGGGGAUAACUACUGGAAACGGUAGCUAAUACCGCAUGACCUCGAAAGAGCAAAGUGGGGGAUCUUCGGACCUCACGCCAUCGGAUGUGCCCAGAUGGGAUUAGCUAGUAGGUGAGGUAAUGGCUCACCUAGGCGACGAUCCCUAGCUGGUCUGAGAGGAUGACCAGCCACACUGGAACUGAGACACGGUCCAGACUCCUACGGGAGGCAGCAGUGGGGAAUAUUGCACAAUGGGCGCAAGCCUGAUGCAGCCAUGCCGCGUGUGUGAAGAAGGCCUUAGGGUUGUAAAGCACUUUCAGCGAGGAGGAAGGCACCAUACUUAAUACGUGUGGUGAUUGACGUUACUCGCAGAAGAAGCACCGGCUAACUCCGUGCCAGCAGCCGCGGUAAUACGGAGGGUGCAAGCGUUAAUCGGAAUUACUGGGCGUAAAGCGCACGCAGGCGGUUUGUUAAGUCAGAUGUGAAAUCCCCGCGCUUAACGUGGGAACUGCAUUUGAAACUGGCAAGCUAGAGUCUUGUAGAGGGGGGUAGAAUUCCAGGUGUAGCGGUGAAAUGCGUAGAGAUCUGGAGGAAUACCGGUGGCGAAGGCGGCCCCCUGGACAAAGACUGACGCUCAGGUGCGAAGCGUGGGGGAGCAAACACG